rnacentral:tRNA from 1 species
GAGGCUUUAGCUUAAUUAAAGCGUUUGUCUUGCAUACAAAAGAUGUGGGUUAAAUACUCGUAAGUCUUA